AGUGAACGCUGGCGGUAGGCCUAACACAUGCAAGUCGAACGGCAGCACAGUAAGAGCUUGCUCUUACGGGUGGCGAGUGGCGGACGGGUGAGGAAUACAUCGGAAUCUACUUUUUCGUGGGGGAUAACGUAGGGAAACUUACGCUAAUACCGCAUACGACCUACGGGUGAAAGCAGGGGAUCUUCGGACCUUGCGCGAUUGAAUGAGCCGAUGUCGGAUUAGCUAGUUGGCGGGGUAAAGGCCCACCAAGGCGACGAUCCGUAGCUGGUCUGAGAGGAUGACCGGCCAAAUUGGGACAGAGAUGCGGCCCAGACUCCUACGGGAGGGAGCAGUGGGGAAGAGUGCACAAGGGGCGGAAGCCUGAUGAAGCAACGCCGCGUGCGGGAUGACGGCCUUCGGGUUGUAAACCGCAUUCGCCUGUGACGAAGCGUGAGGGACGGGAAUGGGUAAAGAAGCACCGGCUAACUACGUG
rnacentral:rRNA from 1 species